rnacentral:lncRNA from 1 species
UACACAUAAGAAUCGUCUAGCACAUGCAAUUUAUUGAAACACAAAUUAAAAUAAACUAAAAAAAACAAAAAAAUGCAAAAAUUAAAAGAAAAAUAAAGCAUAGAAAUCUCUUCCCACACUUAAAUCGAACAUUGUCCCCAAUGUUUCGAUAAAAGAUGAGGAAAGGAGUAACCUGGAUGACACUACUGCUGACCACUAGUACCUUCG